GUGAAUCAUCAAAUUUUUGAACGCAAAUUGCACUCUCUUCGGAGAGUAUGCCUGUUUGAGGGUCAGCCUAUAAAAAAACGAUAUUGUUGCUGUUUUGUGGUGGCGUGCGUAGGAAAUUGGGUCAUUUUUAAUUUUUUGGUUUUAAGCGAGUUAAAGUCUUCUUUUUGGUUCUACGAAUGUUUCUAUGAUUUAUUUCUUUACACGUUUAAGGUAUCGCUUUUUAUUAGACGUGACAAUCAG
rnacentral:misc_RNA from 1 species